rnacentral:rRNA from 1 species
GACGAACGCUGGCGGCGUGCUUAACACAUGCAAGUCGAACGGAAAGGCCCUGCUUUUGUGGGGUGCUCGAGUGGCGAACGGGUGAGUAACACGUGAGUAACCUGCCCUUGACUUUGGGAUAACUUCAGGAAACUGGGGCUAAUACCGGAUAGGAGCUCCUGCUGCAUGGUGGGGGUUGGAAAGUUUCGGCGGUUGGGGCUGGACUCGCGGCUUAUCAGCUUGUUGGUGGGGUAGUGGCUUACCAAGGCUUUGACGGGUAGCCGGCCUGAGAGGGUGACCGGCCACAUUGGGCCUGAGAUACGGCCCAGACUCCUACGGGAGGCAGCAGUGGGGAAUAUUGCACAAUGGGCGGAAGCCUGAUGCAGCGACGCCGCGUGCGGGAUGACGGCCUUCGGGUUGUAAACCGCUUUCGCCUGUGACGAAGCGUGAGUGACGGUAAUGGGUAAAGAAGCACCGGCUAACUACGUG